GACGAACGCUGGCGGCGUGCUUAACACAUGCAAGUCGAACGAUCAACCCGGAGCUUGCUCUGGGGGAUUAGUGGCGAACGGGUGAGUAACACGUGAGUAACCUGCCCUGGACUCUGGGAUAAGCGUUGGAAACGCCGUCUCAUACCGGAUAGGAUCUUGGAUCGCAUGAUCUGGGGUGGAAAGUUUCUUCGGUCUGGGAUGGACUCGCGGCCUAGCAGCUUGUUGGUGAGGUAAUGGCUCACCAAGGCGUCGACGGGUAGCCGGCCUGAGAGGGUGACCGGCCACACUGGGACUGAGACACGGAGCAGACUCCUGCGGGAGGCAGCAGUGGGGAGUAUUGCACAAGGAGCGAAAGCGUGAUGCAGCAGCGCGGCGUGCGGGAGGACGGCCUUCGGGUUGUAAACCGCUUUUAGUAGGGAAGAAGGGCUUCGGCUUGACGGUACCUGCAGAAAAAGGACCGGCUAACUACGUG
rnacentral:rRNA from 1 species